rnacentral:sRNA from 1 species
CGCCCGUCAAACUAUGGGAGCUAGUAAUAUCUGAAACCGUACUGUUAACCCUUCGGGGAGGCAUACGUCUAGGGUAGGAUUGGUGACUGGAGUUAAGUCGUAACAAGGUAUCCCUACGAGAACGUGGGGAUGGAUCACCUCCUUUCUUCCGAGUAAUUUAUUAAUUACACAUUGUGUACAAUAUUAAAAUCCAUUCGGUUUAUAUGCCACAAGACUAAAACCUAAUUUAUAUUUAGUCGCUGGGUGGUCGGAUUCUAUUUAGUUUUGAGAGAAUAUUCUCUCCUAUAAACUAAAUUUUUUAGUUUAUAGAUGAUCGCUCUUUGAAAACUGAAUACUAUCAAUAUCUUUCUAACUAUUAAGAUUAAUUUUUUAAUAGUAGACACACUGUGGACAUCCAUAGUGUGAACAAUCAUACAAUUCAAACAACCAAUAGGAUUUAUAAUAAGUUACUAAGAGCUUAUGGUGAAUGCCUUGGGACAAACAGGCGAUGAAGGACGUGUUAAUCUGCGAUAAGCGACGGUUAGCUGAUAAAAAGCGUUUACCCGUCGAUCUCCGAAUGAGGAAACUCAAUAUAUCUCGAUAUAUUAUUAUUAAGUAAAUACAUAGCUUAAUAAAGCGAUACCUGGUGAAGUGAAACAUCUCAGUAGCCAGAGGAAAAGAAAACGAAUGUGAUUCCCUGUGUAGCGGCGAGCGAAAGGGGAGUAGGCCAAACUGAAUUUCGAUUCAGGGUUGUAGGACUACAAGAUGGACUAAGAAAAGAUAGCAGAAUUGGUUGGGAAGCCAUACCAUAGAAGGUGAAAGUCCUGUACGCGAAAUCUUUUCUUUACCUAGUAGUAUCCUGAGUAGGGCGGGACACGUGAAAUCCUGUCUGAAUCCACCCAGACCAUUGGGUAAGCCUAAAUACUAGUUUGUCACCGAUAGCGCAUA